AAUAAUAAUGGGAAGCCUCAAUGCCAAGUUUGUGGUAAAUUUGGGCAUACAAUUUUGAAAUGAUAUCUUGAUCAACUUGAGAAAUGGUUUUCAAGACCAAAUUUCAAUCAACAUGGGCAAGGAUUUUCUUCUCAUCCUCAAGGUCAGGAUAUGAAUUCAUCUUCCAUAAAGAUAGUACUGAUACAAAAUGACUUCGACAGAGAAAAUCAGUGGUUUCAGAUUCAGAGACCACGAACCAUGUCACAAAUGAUGUAUCCAAUUUGACCUAUGGAUCUGAAUAUCUUGGGUGCAGGAUCUUCAUGAACAAAUUCUACUCCGAGACAAUCUUGUUAAUGAACUCUAUUGUUUUGCAUUGGAAAAAGCAAAGUCCUAGGAAUCUUCAUCCAAACCAAGCUCAUCCUUAAAGGGUCAUUCACAAGUCUUUCAUACAUCAUAUACUCAAGGUAAUACAAGCCCGUUGUCUAUGUUUUCUAUAGUUGAUAUAUGGUAGAAUAGGUUAGGUCAUCCAAAUUUCAAUACUGUUCAACAAGUUUUUACUUGUAAUAUUUCAUAUUCAAGUAAAAGGAAGUUUUUUGUUUGUCAUGCUUGUGCUCUUGUCAAAAGCCAUAAUCUUCCUGUUUCAAAAUCCUAAACCAUAUAUUCAGCUCCCUUACAAAUUAUUGUAAUUGAUUUUUGGGGACCAUGUUAUCAAGUCUCUAGAAAUGGUUUUAAUAUUAGAUAAGUUUUGUUGAUGUCUUUUUAAGAUAUACCUAGAUUUAUUUCCUUACAACUAAAAAUGAAGCAUUUAUUGCUUUUCUAUCUUUUAAACAAACGGUAGAAAAACUUUUAGGACAUCCCAUACUACGUUUUCAAAUCGAUGGAGGGGAUGAAUUUCAUUCAUUUACUCCCUAUUUGAAAUCUAAUGGUAUUGAACAUAGGAUGUUUUGUCCACAUACUUCCCAACAAAAUAACAUUGUCAAGAGAAAACAUAGACACAUAGUUGAAAUGAACUUAACUCUAUUAUCUCAUUCUUCUUUACAUCUUAAAUUUUAGGAUGAUGCUUUUUCUACUGCGGUUUAUUUGAUAAAUAGACUUUCUUCCAUAUCAAAAGAUAUCUCCCUUGGAAAAAUAUUUUUGGGAUCAAACCAAACUAUUCAUUUUUAAAAACAUUUGGUUGUCUAUGUUAUCCUUCAUUGAGAGCCUAUAAAAAACAGAAACUUGGCACAAGAUCAACCCCUUGUAUUUUUCUAGGGUAUAGUUCCAUUCAUAAUGGAUACAAAUGCCUCUCUUAGUCUGGUCAUUUAUAUGUGUGCAGACAUGUCCUCUUCGUUGAGAAAAAUUUUCUUUCAAUGUCCUUUUUCCAGUUUGCACAGCCAUCUUCAAAUAGCUCACCAUCUUUCAGCUACCUACCAAUUUUACAAGUCUACCAGCCAUCCCUCCAUUCAACCUAAUACCUCAGCCUUAUGUCCUAUAAAAAAUGACCAAUCACAUCCAUCCUCAACAGAAGUUGUACACUCUAUAAAUCACUGUACAAAUCAAUUGUCCAUCAGUUCUUUAGCUUCUUCUUUAUCAGAUCCAUCCUUUUCUCCACUCGAUACUUCUCUUUUGAAUACUUCAUAACCUAGCAAUGUUGCACCAGUCCAUAAUUCACUUCAAUCUUCAUCUCAAAAUUACUCUGAUCCCACUAAUCAUGAGAGUUCAUUUAAUGUUGCACCUUUGUUCAAUGCAUCUCAUGUUAUCAAUAAUCAUCCAAUGGUUAAAAGAAGAAAUAAUGGUAUUUUUAAACCCGAAGUAUUGACGGUUGAAUAUCUUAAGAUGGAGCCUCCUAAUAUUAAAGAAGCUCUAAAAUGUCCAUAUUGGGUGAAAGCUAUGACAGAAGAGUACAAUGCUCUUUUAGCAAAUAAAAUGUGGGAGUUAGAGCCACAGCCAACUUAUGAAAAGGUGAUUGGAUGUAGGAUCUAUAGUUUUAUACAAAGCAAGGUUGGUAGUCCAAGGUCAUAAUCAAACUGCAUAUGUUGAUUACACUGAAACUUUUAGCCCUGUUGUAAAACCUAUAACCAUUUGAAUCUUUGUUAUACUUGCUUUAUAUCAUGGCUGGAAAUCGAGACAUAUGGAUGUUAAUAAUGUCUUUCUUCAUGGUUUGCUAGAAGAUGAAAUAUAUAUAGCUCAACUACCAGGUAUGAUAGACGUUUUAGCUCUUAUAAUGGUUUGUAAAUUGAAAAAAGUAUUAUAUGGUCUGAAACAAGCUCCACGAGCUUGGUUUGAUAGAUUGACUUUAUUUUUACAUUAACUGCGGUUUGUUAACUCAAAUGUUGAUUCAUCUCUUCUGGUUUAUCAUAAAAAUGAAAUAGUUUGUUAUAUUCUAGUAUAUGUUGAUGAUAAUAACAUCACUGGUAGCUCAUCACAGAUGAAUGAGAAGCAGAUUGUUGAUUUAAAUAAUUAAUUCUCCCUUAAAGAUCUUGGUCUACUAAACUACUUCUUGGGGAUUGAAGUUUCAUACUCCGCUGAUGGAGGUGAAAGAUCUGAUGAUGUUUGAUUGUAUAGGAGCAUAGUGGAAGCUUUAUAGUAUGCAAUUCUAACCAGAUUAGAAAUUGUAUAUUGUAUAAACAAAUAUGUCAGUUCGUGCAUUCUCCAAAUCAAUUUCUUUGGCAAGUUGUAAAAUGAAUUCUUAGAUAGUUGGGCAGGGACUCUUAAUCAUGGUCCGAUGUUUAAGAAAUCAAAAGAUCUUAAUAUUCAUGGCUUUGCUGAUGUUGACUGGGCUUCAUACUUAGAUGACAGAAAAUCAACUUAGGAGUAUGUGUCUUUUUUGGAGGAAAUCUGAUUCAAUGGGCCUCAAAGAAACAAUUUGUAAUAUCGAGAUUUAGCACAAAUGUUGAGUACAAAAGUUAGCUCUAUUGUAGUUGAUGCUCCAAAUCUCA